CAGCCGCCACGGUAAUACGGAGGGUGCAAGCGUUAAUCGGAAUUACUGGGCGUAAAGCGCACGCAGGCGGUCUGUCAAGUCAGAUGUGAAAUCCCCGGGCUUAACCUGGGAACUGCAUUUGAAACUGUCAGGCUGGAGUCUUGUAGAGGGGGGUAGAAUUCCAGGUGUAGCGGUGAAAUGCGUAGAGAUCUGGAGGAAUACCGGUGGCGAAGGCGGCCCCCUGGACAAAGACUGACGCUCAGGUGCGAAAGCGUGGGGAGCAAACAGGAAUAGAUACCCGGGUAGUCCCUGUCUCUUAUAC
rnacentral:rRNA from 1 species